rnacentral:rRNA from 1 species
CAAGGAAUUUUCCCCAAUGGGCGCAAGCCUGAGGGAGCAACGCCGCGUGCAGGACGACGGCCUUCGGGUUGUAAACUGCUUUUGCGUGGGACGAUAACGACGGUACCACGCGAAUCAGCCCCGGCUAACUCUGUGCCAGCAGCCGCGGUAAUACAGAGGGGGCAAGCGUUGUCCGGACUUACUGGGCGUAAAGCGUCUGCAGGUGGCUAUGCAAGUCUGCUGUUAAAGAGUGGAGCUCAACUCCAUAAGGGCAGUGGAAACUGCGUAACUAGAGUACGUUCGGGGUAGGGGGAAUUCCUGGUGUAGCGGUGAAAUGCGUAGAUAUCAGGAAGAACACCGGUGGCGAAAGCGCUCUACUAGGCCGUAACUGACACUGAGAGACGAAAGCUAAGGGAGCGAAUGGGAUUAGAUACCCCCGUAGUCC